rnacentral:rRNA from 1 species
CACGCCCUAAACGAUGCGAACUGGAUGUUGGGUGCAACUAGGCACUCAGUAUCGAAGCUAACGCGUUAAGUUCGCCGCCUGGGGAGUACGGUCGCAAGACUGAAACUCAAAGGAAUUGACGGGGGCCCGCACAAGCGGUGGAGUAUGUGGUUUAAUUCGAUGCAACGCGCAGAACCUUACCUGGCCUUGACAUCCACGGAACUUUCCAGAGAUGGAUUGGUGCCUUCGGGAACCGUGAGACAGGUGC